rnacentral:tRNA from 1 species
GCCGGGUUGGUGGAAUGGUAGACACGAUCGUCUCAAAAGCGAUUGCCCGAGAGGGCGUGCGGGUUCGAGUCCCGCACCCGGCACCG